rnacentral:rRNA from 1 species
UCAUUACUGAGUUUACGCUCUACAACCCUUUGUGAACAUACCUAUAACUGUUGCUUCGGCGGGUAGGGUCUCCGUGACCCUCCCGGCCUCCCGCCCCCGGGCGGGUCGGCGCCCGCCGGAGGAUAACCAAACUCUGAUUUAACGACGUUUCUUCUGAGUGGUACAAGCAAAUAAUCAAAACUUUUAACAACGGAUCUCUUGGUUCUGGCAUCGAUGAAGAACGCAGCGAAAUGCGAUAAGUAAUGUGAAUUGCAGAAUUCAGUGAAUCAUCGAAUCUUUGAACGCACAUUGCGCCCGCCAGCAUUCUGGCGGGCAUGCCUGUUCGAGCGUCAUUUCAACCCUCAAGCUCUGCUUGGUGUUGGGGCCCUACAGCUGAUGUAGGCCCUCAAAGGUAGUGGCGGACCCUCCCGGAGCCUCCUUUGCGUAGUAACUUUACGUCUCGCACUGGGAUCCGGAGGGACUCUUGCCGUAAAACCCCCAAUUUUCCAAAGGUUGACCUCGGAUCAGGUAGGAAUACCCGCUGAACUUAAGCAUAUCAAUAAGCGGAGGAAAAGAAACCAACAGGGAUUGCCUCAGUAACGGCGAGUGAAGCGGCAACAGCUCAAAUUUGAAAUCUGGCCCUAGGCCCGAGUUGUAAUUUGCAGAGGAUGCUUUUGGUGCGGUGCCUUCCAAGUUCCCUAGAACGGGACGCCAGAGAGGGUGAGAGCCCCGUACAGUUGGACACCAAGCCUUUGUAAAGCUCCUUCGACGAGUCGAGUAGUUUGGGAAUGCUGCUCAAAAUGGGAGGUAUAUUUCUUCUAAAGCUAAAUACCGGCCAGAGACCGAUAGCGCACAAGUAGAGUGAUCGAAAGAUGAAAAGCACUUUGAAAAGAGGGUUAAACAGCACGUGAAAUUGUUAAAAGGGAAGCGCUUGUGACCAGACUUGCGUCCGGUGAAUCACCCAGCUCUCGCGGCUGGGGCACUUCGCCGGCUCAGGCCAGCAUCAGCUCGCUGUCGGGGACAAAAGCUUCAGGAACGUAGCUCUCUUCGGGGAGUGUUAUAGCCUGUUGCAUAAUACCCUUCGGCGGGCUGAGGUACGC